rnacentral:rRNA from 1 species
AUUGAACGCUGGCGGCAGGCCUAACACAUGCAAGUCGAACGGUAACAGGAAGCAGCUUGCUGCUUCGCUGACGAGUGGCGGACGGGUGAGUAAUGUCUGGGAAACUGCCUGAUGGAGGGGGAUAACUACUGGAAACGGUAGCUAAUACCGCAUAACGUCGCAAGACCAAAGAGGGGGACCUUAGGGCCUCUUGCCAUCGGAUGUCCCAGAUGGGAUUAGCUAGUAGGUGGGGUAACGGCUCACCUAGGCGACGAUCCCUAGCUGGUCUGAGAGGAUGACCAGCCACACUGGAACUGAGACACGGUCCAGACUCCUACGGGAGGCAGCAGUGGGGAAUAUUGCACAAUGGGCGCAAGCCUGAUGCAGCCAUGCCGCGUGUAUGAAGAAGGCCUUCGGGUUGUAAAGUACUUUCAGCGGGGAGGAAGGGAGUAAAGUUAAUACCUUUGCUCAUUGACGUUACCCGCAGAAGAAGCACCGGCUAACUCCGUG